GAUGAACGCUGGCGGCGUGCUUAACACAUGCAAGUCGAACGGAGUAAUAUGAUAUUUUCGGAUGGAUUAUUACUUAGUGGCGGACGGGUGAGUAACGCGUGGGUAACCUACCUCAUACAGGGGGAUAACAGUUGGAAACGACUGCUAAAACCGCAUAAUAAGUUGAGACCGCAUGAUCUUAACUUCAAAUAUUUAUAGGUAUGAGAUGGGCCCGCGUCUGAUUAGCUAGUUGGUGGGGUAAUGGCCUACCAAGGCAACGAUCAGUAGCCGGCUUGAGAGAGUGACCGGCCACAUUGGGACUGAGACACGGCCCAAACUCCUACGGGUGGCAG
rnacentral:rRNA from 1 species